CUUGAUCGAGCCCAGCAGCAGCGGCCGCUCCCGGUCCUGACCGUAGGUGGCGAGCAGCGCCUGCGCCUC
rnacentral:antisense_RNA from 1 species